GUGCUUGUUUCAGCAUCACACAUACUAAAAUUGGAAUGAAACAGAGAAGAUUAGUAUGGCCUCUGUGCAAGGAUGACAUGCAAAUUUGUGAAGCGUUCCAUAUUUUU